rnacentral:sRNA from 1 species
CUUGGUAUCUCCAAAAAUAUCAAAAAUCAAGGAAAUG